GCAUAGAAUUUAUUUUUAAAGAAUAUGCUUUUUAAAAACGAUUAUGGUUUCUCAUAGUGCCUCAUGCCAGAGAAAACUGUGGCUCUGAACCACUGCCUGUAGGCUGCUGGCACUGAAGCGGGUUAUACAGUG
rnacentral:snoRNA from 1 species